ACUGAACCGAUGAUCUCAGAACCUGAAGGUAGAAACUGGCAACCCUCUAUAACACUCACAAUGAUGCAACUAUGGGUUCUUCUGGAUUGGAGGCACUGCAGUACCUGGAGUACAUCUCUUGAAGAGAUAGCUGUGCUGAAAUAGAAAACCAAACUAUAAAUGGAGGCAUUCCAAGAAGUAAAAAUUGUGCUAAAUACAAAGUUGGAAUAUAGAAUUACCACAACAUGGGAGAGUUUAUCAGCACUGCACAGGCCUGUGACUCUCAAGUUUAAACCUGGGGUUCAAGACUUAUUGAUGGAAGUGAAUACUCCUUUCUGUGAUGUUCCCCAGCACUGCCAGGGGAAGCAGGACAGCCUUUUGAUGAACUCUUGGAGUAGGAAGGUAGGAAACAUACCUCUGUUGAAUAACUUGACCAAGAUCUCACAGCUGGAAGAUUAGCCCUGAGCCAACAUCUGCUGCCAAUCCUCCUCUUUUUGCUGAGGAAGACUGGCCCUGAGCUAACAUCCAUGCCCAUCUUCCUCUACUUUAUACGUGAGACGCCUACCACAGCAUGGCGUGCCAAGCAGUGCCAUGUCCGCACCCAGGAUCUGAACCGGUGAACUCCGGGCCACCCACCGAAGUGGAAUGUGCACACUUAACCACUGGACCACCUGGCUGGCCCCUAUUUUAGCAGCAUCAAUCCUUCUAAUCCACAAACAUGUCACUCCAUUUAUUUAGAUGUUGUUUAAUUUCUCUCGUUGUUUUUAGUUCUCAAUAUAGAGAUCUUGUACAACUUCCAUUGGAUUUACUCCUAGGUAUUUUAUAUUUUUUGAUGCUUUUGUAAAUGGUAUUUAAAAAAAUUUCAUUUGCCAAUUGUUUGUUGCUAGUAUAUAAAAUACAAUUAAUUUUUGUGUGUUGAACCUUGUAUCUAGUGAUCUUGCUCAAUGUGCUUCUCAAUUGAAAUAGUUUGUAGAUUAUUUUGGAUUUUCUACAUAUGUAAAAAUACCAUCUGCAAACAAUGUCACGUUUACUUCUUCCACCCUAAUAUUUAGAAUGGAUCUCCUCAACAGUGCUGGAUAGAGUGGUGAUGAUGGACAUUCUUCUUGUUCUCAGAGGGAAUGUGUUCAAUAUUUCACAAUUAAGUAUAAUAUUAGCUGUAAGUUUUUCUUUGAUGCCCUUUAUUGGAUUGAGAGAGUUCUUUUGUAUGGCUAGUUUGCUGAGAGUUUUUGUCAUGAAUGGAUGUUGAAUCUUAUCCAUUGCUUUUUCUGAGUCUAUUGAUAUAUUUAUAUUGUUUUUCUCGUUUAUUCUGUUGAUGUGGUAAUUAAGAUUGAUUGUGUUUCAAAUGUUAAAUCCAUCUUGCAUUCUAGGAAUAAACUCUACUUGGUUUUGAUGUCUUAUCCUAUUAAUAUAUUGCUGGAUUUGAUUUGGUAGUAUUUCAUUUAGGAUUUUUUAAUCAGAGAAAUAUUGGUCUAUAAUUUUCAUUUUUUGUAGUAUCUUUGUCAGAUUACUAACUUGACAUUUAGAUAGAAGUUUCAUUGGUUAUGGAUACUAGGUUGGAAAUAAU
rnacentral:lncRNA from 1 species